rnacentral:lncRNA from 10 species
GGACAACAGGCGCAUGCCACCACGCCAGGCUAAUUUUUUGUAUUUUAGUAGAGACAGGGUUUCCCCAUGUUGGCCAGGAUGGUCUCGAUCUCCUGACCUUGUGAUCCAGCCACCUUGGCCUCCCGAAGUGCUGGGAUUACAGGCGUGAGCCACUGAGCCCGGCCAACAUUAUUUUAAAAAUAAAUUUAGUGUAGUCUAAAUGUACAGUGUUUCUAAAGUCUACAGUUGAGUACAGUAAUGUCCUAGGCUUUCACAUCCUCACCACUUAUUUGCUGACUCACUCAGAGGAACUUCCAGUCCCCAAGUUCCAUUCAUGGUCACCAUCCCCACCGUGAGUGCUCUGGGACCCAAAGUCUGGAACCAUCCUGUAGAGAAACACGG